rnacentral:sRNA from 1 species
UUUUUGUUCACAAAAAAGUACUGCAUAGGCAGCUGCAGUGCAGGCUUCCCCACGUUGCUUAUUAACAGGCCUCCUCCCUGCCCUGGAGAAACCAUCACGGCCGAUGAGA